UGGGUGUUGUCGGUAGUGUCCUGAAAAGA
rnacentral:piRNA from 1 species